ensembl:lncRNA
CUGGGCUGCCUCUGGGAUUUGUUGCAGUCACCAAAGCUGACGAACACAGCUUCCGCAUGGGCACCGUGGGAAAACAACAGGAACUCUGGAUGCCGCAAGGACUAAAGAGAGCAGUGUGGGAAGCUCUGCAUUUUCUACAGUCAGAAGACCAUGAAAUGGUGAGGGGAAAGGAAAUUGGGCACCACACGAACUCCACAUCCAGCCUUCUCCAGUGUUGCUUAGCAGUGGUGGUGACUGGGAAGACACCGGCCAGAGCAGCCUGCAGGUCUCUCCCUGGUGGCACGGGGCCGGUCCCAUGGCCCUGGGGAUGCGUUCAGGCUCCUGGGGAAGGCCUGCUCCAGCCCUGGGCUUGCUGGUCUCCGAGUCUGUCCAAGCAGAGCCCAGGGACGUGGGUCACACGAUGGUAACUCUGCGGCCCAGGAUUCUGUCACCAACAGCAGCUGAAGGCCGACAGGGCUGUGGGUUCUUCUUCCACCUCCUCCCCAGGGGGCAGCACCCGUUCCUGAGUCACCACCCACUGACUGCUUCCUGAAGUAGGCUCUGAGAGGUGGCCAGCCACUCAGGAACUGCCCCAGCAGGCCCAGUCCUGGCCUCUGUUCCGGUGAUCACAGCCCUUCCCUCAGGGCCCACUGCCCUGCCCGGGGAGCUCGAGUGUGGUUAUCCAACAUGUGGUGCGGGCAGCAGGGACAGCUCUGGACCGGAAGGGCUGACCAGCACUGAAAUAGCAACAUCCCAGCAGUGCCACCCUGCCCUGGAGCCAGCUGACUAUCGACUGAAACCUGGACAAACUGAGCCCAAAUAACCCUCUCCUCCUUUAACUUUGGAUGUCUGGUAUUUUGUCCUAGAAACGAGAAGAGUAACUAAGACAGUGUACAAGGCAGACUUUGCUAGAUUUCAGACAGAAGAUUUGCACUGGGAAAGGAAGAGAGAGGAUGGAAAGUGGAGCAGCUUUCUCCCUGAGAGGAGUUCCUGCCUGCACAGGGAGUGGAAGAACAUGGCAGACCUGGGACUGGUGGGGGGCGUGGACUUCAUCUCCAUUGUGAGGGGGCUGUAGGCCAGCGGGGCUCCACCCUCACGGUGGGUGAAGAUUGUCAGCCAUCAUUAGGGUUUAGAUCUGGAAUGUUCCCAAAGGCUCAGGGGUUUGGAGGUGGGCUUUGGGAGGUGACUGGAAUGGGGUGGUGCUGUGCUCAGCCAUGGAUUAAUCCAUGAUGGACUCCUGGCUAAAUGUGUGGUAGGAGGUGAGGUUGCAGGGGUGGGUCACUGCGGUGUGACCUGGAAGGGUGUGAUCUUAUCCCAGGGUCCUCUCUUCCUUCUCUGCUUCCUGGCUGCCCAGUGGGGAGCAGCUACCCCUGUCGGCCCUUCCACAUGCUGUUUCUGCCUUGGAACCAGUUGACCUUGGACUGAACCCUCUGAAGCCACGAGAGAAAAUAAACCCCGCUUCCUUUAAAUUGCAGGUGUCUGGCUUUUGUCCCCACGGUGGGAAAGUGACUCAGACAGUGAUCCUCAUGGGAGUGGGGCAGUUACCUUGGAGAGCUGAGUGACGACGGCAGAGGCCAGAUGCCAGCAUCUUCAUAUUGGCUUCCUGCCUCCAGAGC